rnacentral:misc_RNA from 1 species
GUCCACCAUUGGAAUUGUCAUUAUUGGGAACUUCAGGAAUAAUACUUAAUAAUGAUGCUAGCGGCCUUAAUCCACAUAUCAUACUAACUUUGCUCAAAGGUGAUGUGCCAAAUGGAUCCACAGAUGCAUCAAGGUCUGAUUCAACUGCCAGUCAUGCAAGUUUUGACAGCAAAAAGGAUGAUAACUCAGCAACAUCAGAUCAGAUGCCAUCAACUACCACCAAAGUUCAAGUGCCAAUGCCUUGGUCAAAUCAGAUACCUCAAUAUAUGUAUAAUUUCCAGAACCCUCAACAACUUCCUCCAUACCAAGGAUAUCCAUUCCCGAUG